CCAUAUUGUCUGCACCGUGAUGUUUUCGUCGACUAUCGGGACCGUUAGCAAUACAGAAGUAUUACAUGUAUGGUAAUUAAUUAAGGCUAUUAUGUGUCCAAAUAAUAGUCAGUUUUACAUCUGGUUCAAACAUUCUAAGGAUGUACUUGCCCUUGGGACAAAUAUAGAACAUCCUAAGUACGUCCAUCGGAUGUCCUCCGGUUUCUAUCUGACAUCCAAAUUACGUCCUAAUUAUGUCUGCGUGUUGUGUGAGUAUUGGACGAAUAACUCCGUUCCUCCCCCUCACCUCUAUCCCUACUACCAGGACAAGGAGUACAUAAAGACGGUUACACAAUUCAGGAGAGCUCAGUAUCGCCCCUAGCCCUGAUGAUGCAAACUGUAACGUUUGCGAAACGUCUGCGCAACGCUGUACUAGGACGCAUGUAUCCGGAAGCCCUUUUUAUUGGAAGCAAUGUCAAUGGUCGUAAAAGCUUUAAGUCUAAAAUAUUCUUCCACAUAUUAUCAAUUCCUAAGUUAGCCAAAAAAAAUUUUAUCCGCGUCAUUAAAUACAACAGGCAACAUUCUCCAUUUAUAAGCUAAAGCCUAAUAUCGAAAAUUUUAAUAUAUUUUGCUAUAUUUUUCAAGUCUGGAAAGAUACGUCUACUUUCCUUGCGUAAAGCAAUUCUUGAAUUUAGAAAUCUAAGUUCGCGAAAGAACUUAUUAUUAUAAGGCAAUCGUUGUAUCAUUUCUUGUAACACGAUUGUGUAAAAAGAUAAACAUUUGAAGUUUAUUUCUAUAACAAAUUCGGAUGAUUCUAAUUCCAAUAAAGUUUCGCAAUCUGAACCGAGAUAUAUUGAAGUUGAUGGUAAAACAUUUUGUGGGUUAAUAUCCAUUAAAAUAUUUUUUAAUGCGUUAGAUUGUAAGAAAUUAUAUCUAAUCUGCUUUAUUACAUGUUCACUACUCUCAGCUAAUUUAUGAAUUAAAAUUUUUUGAUCUUGAAAUGCUUUAAACUCAUUGCAUUGAAAGAAUACAUAUUUUAAAAAUAACAAAUAUGCUUUAAUUUUAUUAUCAUUUAAAGUAUUAAAAUUGUAAAAGCCGAAUUAUUUUUGUUUUCUAUCGUUUCUAGGAGGAAGUAAUGUUUCAAGACUUCCCAAUUGUCGAGAAGUCUAGUAACACAUUUCUGUAACGCAAGCCACCUUGAUAAUUUUAAGAGUUUACGUUUUUCUACUCCAAAAAAGUUUUAAAAUUUACACAGGAUAGCCGAUCUUUUUGCACUGCCAAAGAAAUAUGUUGCAAUAGCAUGUAAAAAAAUUUCACGAGAAUUCGGCAAUUUUGCACAAGUUUUGCUCGCAAUAAGAGCUGAAAAAUGGCAUAUACAUUUCAAUACAACGAGGGCCGGUACCUCUUUUUUCAAUCUACUAAUGAAAGAAUCUUGAACGCCUAUCAUUAUGGAAGCAUUAUCGCAAACUAUUUCUAUAAUACUUGAUAACGGUAUACCUUUCUUUUCUAAACAUUUUUUAAAUGCAAAAUAUAAUUUAUCCGUGGAACAAUUUAUAGCAUUCAAUGGUACUAAUUCUAAUAAUUGAAUUAGGCAUUUUUCAUUUUCCAACGAUACGUACUUUACUAAAAUACAAAGCAACUUAUCAUUAGUGAUACUGAUGUUAUCUAUUAAAACUGUGACGUGACGUUUUUUGUCCGUCACAAGGGCCGGAAUGGCCCGGCCGGGAAAGAUCAUUUAGGGCCGCGCCUUACCUCAAGGGGGGCGACGGCCUCUUCCUUUACCGGCUAAUUUAAUUUAGAAUUUAGAUCUUAACAGCGAGCGGGUGGAGUGGUGUGCCAAGAUGACCAUUUUGUAAUUUACGUAACAGCCGUCGAAGGAUUAUCGAGGGGAAGCCUAGACGACCGAGCGGCGGGGCCCCGGACAACCGAAGGACCGUAAAUCAGAAAAGGAGAGAAAGGAGCAGCAACUAGGUGCAGCCAGAGACGACGCCGGGGAAAUAGCAUGCGCCUUUACGCCCGUCCGCCAGGGUGGAGGAAACCCCAGCAGGAGCGGUCGUCACGGCCUCGAGGAAUAAGCCGGACGGGGCCUGAUCACCCCGAGCCGCGUCAAGACCAGAGGCGCCUUCGGACGCUGAGAUCCUGCAGGACGAGCAGGCGCCCCUAUCGACUAGCUAUCGAAGCGCAAUCGAUGCACAAGCCGCUACCGGCGUCCGCGGCGCCCCCGACCGCUCACGGUUCGUCACUGUUCGGCAAGUCGACUAAGGGUGCGGACUAACGGCCACUAGCGACGUCCUCGAUAAUUGUAAGGCCACCACUUCGACGCGGUAAGGAAGAUGACACGGUCCCCCGCGGUUCGCGAGAUAGUAAAGAUUUGUCAAGCGCCGUAAAGAAAUACCGCGGCAAGUAGAUUCACGAUACCGAGUAUACCCGGGGCACGGUAUUCCACGUGUGGAAUUUCGUCUUAGAGAUAAGCGCCCAUUUCUUGUAAUUCUCCCCUCGAAAGCCGCCGAGCCGACAGUCGUGUUGUAAUUAUAUUAAUUGUAAUCUGCGGGACGUCGGGACGACGCGAUAGAGUGAGACUUCCGGGAUUUGUAUCCCGAGAUUAAGCAUAUCGAGAGCCCCGAGCGGCGGGCAUAUUGCCGAGACACGAGAAAUCCGCCUCUCGGACGAAGAUAUCGAGUACCCGGGGACGAUGUCGUCGUACCGAGGCGUAGUGACCGCCUCACGGAUAUUCGCGUAAGGCCCGCGACGGGCAGGGCUAUAUCUUGGCGUAGAUAUUUAAGCUUUUAUAUAAAGUGAUAUAUAAAGUCGCGAGUAGAAUCACGAGCAAGAUGCGUGCGUGUCCCGAGCGUCGACGAGAAUCGCGUUAACCGUUCGCGUAAUGCAGAGACUUUUCGUUAUUUGUGUUUGUUCUAAUUUCGUGAUCGUUAUCGUAUUGUUAUCGUGUAAAAUGAUUAUUAAGCGUGUUGUAAAUUCGGAUGUGUUUGCUGUAGAUGUAUCGAACCUUAAUCGCAUCUCUGAUUCGUUGAGAGAACCAUCGAGCAAUCGAUUAUAGUUAUAUCCUUCAUUGUUACCAUUUAUCUUAUUAAUAUAUGAUCUGUUAUAUUAUUAUCAAAUGAGUCGUCAGUGAUUGUAGACCUCCUCUUCCACUCUCCAAGAAAGAACAUCUUGCUAUAAGAAUUUCGUCUUUCUACCAUUUUGUGUAGGAGCGGGUUACCGGGUAAUUAGCCGUCGUGAUUGACUAUUUUGUGAAUUUUGUGCGCCGCGAUUCUUCGCGCCUGGCGCCCAGCAAUUGAGAUAAUUAAAGUGAAAUAAAGUGAGAUCGCGACGAAGUUGCAGACGAGUCGAAAGAAACACCGUCGCAAAAUAGAAAAUUUUUUAUUUUUUAAAUUGUUUAGCUUUUUAUUUUCACGUUUUUCUGAAACAUUUUUUAUAAUCUGUGCACAUUUUUUUCUUGACAGUUUUAGAUCAUUAAGCACCUGUGGAUCAGAGCAAGUUUCUCUUAAGAAAGGGAUCAUGUAAUCUACAAUUUGAAAAGUUAUAUUAUGUUCAGCAAUUAGACCAGAUAAUUUUAUUUCGGCUAUUUUAAAUUUUUUAACAUGGUUCUCAUUAUAAAGCUUUGUUAAUAAAGCAGAUGGUAUG